rnacentral:rRNA from 1 species
GAUGAACGCUGGCGGCGUGCCUAAUACAUGCAAGUCGAGCGAACGGACGAGAAGCUUGCUUCUCUGAUGUUAGCGGCGGACGGGUGAGUAACACGUGGAUAACCUACCUAUAAGACUGGGGUAACUUCGGGAAACCGGAGCUAAUAACGGAUAAUAUUUUGAACCGCAUGGUUCAAAAGUGAAAGGCGGUCUUGCUGUCACUUAUAGAUGGAUCCGGGCUGCAUUAGCUAGUUGGUAAGGUAACGGCUUACCAAGGCAACGAUGCAUAGCCGACCUGAGAGGGUGAUCGGCCACACUGGAACUGAGACACGGUCCAGACUCCUACGGGAGGCAGCAGUAGGGAAUCUUCCGCAAUGGGCGAAAGCCUGACGGAGCAACGCCGCGUGAGUGAUGAAGGUCUUCGGAUCGUAAAACUCUGUUAUUAGGGAAGAACAUAUGUGUAAGUAACUGUGCACAUCUUGACGGUACCUAAUGAGAAAGCCACGGCUAACUACGUG